rnacentral:rRNA from 1 species
AUACGGAGGAUCCGAGCGUUAUCCGGAUUUAUUAGGUUUAAAGGGUGCGCAGGCGGAACUGUAAGUCACCGGUGAAAUCCUACAGCAUAACUGUAGAACUGCCGGUGAUACUGCGAUUCUUGAGUAUAGUUGAGGUAGGCGGAAUGUGUAGUGUAGCGGUGAAAUGCAUAGAUAUUACACAGAACACCGAUUGCGAAGGCAGCUUACUAAACUAUUACUGACGCUCAUGCACGAAAGCGUGGGGAGCGAACAGGAUUAGAUACCCCAGUAGUCC